UACGGAGGGUGCGAGCGUUAAUCGGAAUUACUGGGCGUAAAGCGCACGCAGGCGGUUUGUUAAGCUAGAUGUGAAAGCCCCGGGCUCAACCUGGGAUGGUCAUUUAGAACUGGCAGACUAGAGUCUUGGAGAGGGGAGUGGAAUUCCAGGUGUAGCGGUGAAAUGCGUGGAUAUCUGGAGGAACAUCAGUGGCGAAGGCGACUCCCUGGCCAAAGACUGACGCUCAUGUGCGAAAGUGUGGGUAGCGAACAGG
rnacentral:rRNA from 1 species